ACCCUAACAUAUCCAUCUGACCCAACAGUGAUAACUUCACCCUCAUACAGCAUUAUCUGGUUAAUGGGACCAUUGUGACAUGACUUGCUUGUCCCUCGACAGAGCUCCACUUUGAUCAGACCACCUUCCCAAAGCAGCAUGUUGCCCCAUUCUGACCCUGAGAGCACCUGGCAGGUAUGUGGAAAAAAGAAAUGUGCAUUAAAACAGACCAGGUUACAUCACAAUUUUUAAAAUUUCACUGUGGAAAAAGUUACAAACGAAUGUAAACUUACCAGAAGUAAGAAAGAUAUAAUAUUUCCAAACCAGACACAGAGGAAAAUACAAAUUCCUCACAAGAUAUAGAGAUUAUAUAUGUCCAUCUGCAGAGAGGAGAACUAAAUCUAAUGGGGGCCAUCCCAGCAAGGCAGAAUUUUAUUCAAG
rnacentral:lncRNA from 1 species